rnacentral:tRNA from 1 species
GACCCCAUCGUCUAGUCAGGUCCAGGACAUCAGGUUUUCAUCCUGAAAACACGGGUUCGAAUCCCGUUGGGGUCA